CUGAGAUUCGAAAGGGGGCGAUUCAGUUGCGCCCGAUGCUAGCGGCUCCUUUCCACGGACCGGGACCCGUAUUGCGCAUCGCCCUGGUAAACAGGUAGCGUGCGCGCGGCGACCCCGGGUGGCUGGGAUGACGUGCGGCGUCGGCGACAAUGCACUUCCCCCCUAGUAGAAAUGUCGCGACCCGUUGGGUGCCGGUGGCAGGCCCGGAGCGGCAGGACGCGCGUCCCGUCGGAAACGGCGGGCGCGCGGACGCCCGGAGACCCGGCCGGCGGCCCGACGGAAGUGCUCGGAGGGGUCUAUCCGCUGUGCGAAGCGUCGGAACGGUUGGUGACCGAUGAGUAACGGGUGCCAAUCGGGGGUUUUCGCAACCGUGCUCAGCACGAACCCCCUGGCAAUUGUGCGCCGUCGGUCGCCCGUUCCAUAGACCGGAAACCACUCCAGUCGGCGGCCAGGGAGUCGGGUGUUCUCCCGACCCGUCUUGAA
rnacentral:rRNA from 1 species